CAUCCGCCCUGCAGCAGUCAGACAGGAGGAGGGGACCUCAGGGAUGGAGAGAAAUGAAGCUGGGAGAUCUGACCCGGUAACGUAGGAUGGCAAUGGGUUGUGUCAAGCAGGAAUUGCUUUAAUACAGUGCUGGGAGCUCAGGGGAUCUCUGCACCCAAUGUGCACCCCGAGGGGAGCAGUGAGUGCAGGUCUGUAGGCAUAGUGUGUAUGUAUUCAGUGCAUUGCUGAGACAUUGGUUGCAUACUGUGUCAUAAAAUGUCGCGAGGGUGUCUGUGCCCCAUCUGGUGGCCGUUGGAUGAAGGCCGGCACUCAUCCUCACAAAGGCUCGGAGUGUUCCUCGCUGUGCACUUCUAAGUGCCCUUAAGGGGGUGUACCCAAAUGGUCCUCUGCUGGCGUUGUGUGCAGCAGAAGCAUCUGCUUUGCAUCCUUAUGAAGAUAAGGGC
rnacentral:lncRNA from 1 species